rnacentral:rRNA from 1 species
AUUGAACGCUGGCGGCAGGCCUAACACAUGCAAGUCGAACGGUAACAGGAAACAGCUUGCUGUUUCGCUGACGAGUGGCGGACGGGUGAGUAAUGUCUGGGAAACUGCCUGAUGGAGGGGGAUAACUACUGGAAACGGUAGCUAAUACCGCAUAACGUCGCAAGACCAAAGAGGGGGACCUUCGGGCCUCUCGCCAUCGGAUGUGCCCAGAUGGGAUUAGCUAGUAGGUGGGGUAACGGCUCACCUAGGCGACGAUCCCUAGCUGGUCUGAGAGGAUGACCAGCCACACUGGAACUGAGACACGGUCCAGACUCCUACGGGAGGCAGCAGUGGGGAAUAUUGCACAAUGGGCGCAAGCCUGAUGCAGCCAUGCCGCGUGUAUGAAGAAGGCCUUCGGGUUGUAAAGUACUUUCAGCGGGGAGGAAGGGAGUAAAGUUAAUACCUUUACUCAUUGACGUUACCCGCAGAAGAAGCACCGGCUAACUCCGUG